rnacentral:misc_RNA from 1 species
AACCAUAGAAACCUGCGGAGUACCUGCGGAAGGAUCAUUACGAGAGUGUCACCACUCCCAACCCAUUGUUUACCUACCCGUCCACCGUGCUUCGGCAGGCAGCCCUGUGGGACAGAGCCUCGCCCCCUUUCGCGGGGGGUGCCUGCCGCUUGCCAACCAAAACUCUAGCUGUUUUAGUACCAUCUGAGUCUUCCACAAAUGAACAAAACUUUCAGCAACGGAUCUCAGAUCGGAAGAGCA